AUUGAACGCUGGCGGCAUGCCUUACACAUGCAAGUCGAACGGCAGCACGGGGGCAACCCUGGUGGUGAGUGGCGAACGGGUGAGUAAUACAUCGGAAUGUACCUUGUAGUGGGGGAUAGCUCGGCGAAAGCCGGAUUAAUACCGCGUACGCUCUGAGGAGGAAAGCGGGGGACCUUCGGGCCUCGUGCUACAAGAGCAGCCGAUGUCAGAUUAGCUUGUUGGUGAGGUAAAAGCUCACCAAGGCGACGAUCUGUAGCUGGUCUGAGAGGACGACCAGCCACACUGGGACUGAGACACGGCCCAGACUCCUACGGGAGGCAGCAGUGGGGAAUUUUGGACAAUGGGCGAAAGCCUGAUCCAGCAAUGCCG
rnacentral:rRNA from 1 species